UACGAAGGGGGCUAGCGUUGUUCGGAAUUACUGGGCGUAAAGGGCGCGCAGGCGGCUCUUCAAGUCAGAUGUGAAAGCCCCGGGCUCAACCUGGGAAUUGCAUUCGAGACUGAAUAGCUAGGGUACGGUAGAGGGAAGUGGAAUUUCCGGUGUAGCGGUGAAAUGCGUAGAUAUCGGAAGGAACACCAGUGGCGAAAGCGGCUUCCUGGUCCAGCACCGACGUUCAGGCACGAAAGCGUGGGGAGCAAACAGG
rnacentral:rRNA from 1 species